UACGGAGGGUGCAAGCGUUAUCCGGAUUCACUGGGUUUAAAGGGUGCGUAGGUGGGCAGGUAAGUCAGUGGUGAAAUCUCUGGCUUAACCCGGAAACUGCCAUUGAUACUAUCUGUCUUGAAUACCGUGGAGGUUAGCGGAAUAUGUCAUGUAGCGGUGAAAUGCUUAGAUAUGACAUAGAACACCAAUUGCGAAGGCAGCUGGCUACACGAAUAUUGACACUGAUGCACGAAAGCGUGGGGAUCAAACAGG
rnacentral:rRNA from 1 species